AGCUCCAAUAGCGUAUAUUAAAGUUGUUGCGGUUAAAAAGCUCGUAGUUGGAUCUCGGCGAGUAGGGGGCGGUUCGUUAUUUGACGGUACUGCCCCAUUUACUCGUGUUUUUGACAGAGGGUUGGUGGUCCCCUUUAUUGGGUGUCUCCGGUCACUGUCAGGUUUACUUUGAAAAAAUUAGAGUGCUCAAAGCAGGCUAUCAACGCUUGAAUAUUCGUGCAUGGAAUAAUAGAAUAGGAAGUCGUUUCUAUUUUGUUGGUUUUAGGAAAAUGACUUAAUGAUUAAUAGGGACAAUCGGGGGCAUUAGUAUUCAAACGACAGAGGUGAAAUUCUUGGACCGUUUGAAGACUAACUACUGCGAAAGCAUUUGCCAAGAGUGUUUUCA
rnacentral:rRNA from 1 species